CCUGGCGGCACUAGCGCGGUGGUCCCACCUGACCCCAUGCCGAACUCAGAAGUGAAACGCCGUAGCGCCGAUGGUAGUGUGGGGUUUCCCCAUGCGAGAGU
rnacentral:rRNA from 1 species